ACUUGCCUGUAGCUUCUCUGGAGAACCCUAAUAUGGGGGAAGUGGAACUAAUGCCUUAGAAUUGCCCCCUUUCAUGGACACUGUGUGGGAGGAAAGGUAUCAUUAUUAUCAGAUGGCCAUGACAAUCCCAGCUCCUACUGGCCUUUUCUGGAAUCAUCCUAGCAAGGCUAUCAUGGAAGUCUGGGCUCCCUACUUAACCUCUGCAGAUGGGGAUGAGGGUCCAUUUUAUUCUGUGGCUUUUGGCUGGAGUAAAGUCAUUAUUGUCUAUAAGUAUCCUGUCUUCCAAGUUGGUCCUUUGCUGGUCCUUUGGUGAGACAGUAGGCUUUUGUUCCUGUUCCCAUUGGUGUUUCCAAGUUGCUGGUUUCUCCAGCACCAGUCUAGGAUAUAUUAGCAAAAAGAAAACUAUCACGUCAUUCUCAGCUCCCAAGGUCCCUUGCCAGUCCACCAUCUUCUACCUUUCAGAGUUUUCUUAUGUUUUGACAAAAGCCCAAUUUAUUUUCUUUUAUUAACUUGUAUUUAAAAUAUCUUUAUCAAACCCAAAGUCAUGAAGACUUUCUAUGCUUUUUUUUUCCCCUAAAGUUUUACAGUUUUUAACCUAAUUUAACAAUUAGGUCUAUGAUCCAUAUAUGUAACAGGCAUAUAUAGUGUGAAGACUGUUUUUUUUUUUAAAUGAAUAUGCUAUAUAAUUGCUCCAGAAUCACUAGUUUAAAGUAUUAUCCUUUCUCCACCAAACUGAUUUGGCAGCUUAGUUCUUUUGAGCUGCUGUAACAGAAUACCAUAGACUGGGUGGCUUAUAAGCAACAGAAGUUUAUUUCUCACAGCUCUGGUGGCUAGAAAGCCCAAGAUCAAAGCACUAGCAGAGUCUGCCUGGUUGGGCAUACUUUUGGGUUUAAAGAUGGCUGUUUCUGCUGUGUCCUUACAUGGUGAAAGGGGUCAGGAAGCUAAGGUCUCUUUUAUAAGGGCACCCAUGCCAUUCAUGAGGGCUCUGCUCUCACGAUUUACUCAUCUCCAAAUGGCCACCUUCUAGUACCAUCACAUUAGGGGUUAGGAUUUAACAAAUGAAAUUUAGGGGGACGCAUUUUCAUUCUAAAGCGGAACUUUUUGGGGGGUUCCCGUUGUGGCGCAGUGGUUAACAAAUCUGACUAGGAACCAUGAGGUUGUGGGUUUGACCCCUGACCUCGCUCAGUGGGUUAAGAAUCCGGCUUUGCCAUGAGCUGUGGUGUAGGUCGCAGACCGGGUUUGGAUCCCAAGUUGCUGUGGCGUAGGCCAGCAGCAACAGCUCCGAUUAAACCCCUAGCCUGGGAACCUCCAUAUGCCAUGGGAGCAGCCCUAGAAAAGGCAAAAAGAUAAAAAAUUAAAAAAAAAAGGAAAGCAGAACUUUUUUCAAAAAUCAGUAUGUGUUGGUUUAUUUCUAUACUGUUGUUUUUCAUUGACCAGCUUGGCUCUCUUUAUGCCAACACCACACAUCCUUAAUUAUGUAGGUUCAUAAUACAGCUUGUAAUUAAAAGAGUUUGAGCCCCCAGCGUUGUUCUUCUUCAGGGUUGGCCUGCCCAUUCUGAGUUUUCUGCAUUUCCAUAUAAGUCAGAAUCAGUUUGCCAAUCUCUACCAAAGCAACCUGCUGGGAUUCUGACUGGGAGCGCACUAAAGGUGCGGACUAAUUGGGGAGAACUGCUAUUUCAACAAUAUUACGUCUUUCUGCCCCGAACACGGCAGAUCAUUACUUUGAUCUUUUUGCAUUUCUCUGAGCAGUGUUUUGCAGUUUUUGGUAUAAAGGUCUUUCACAUCUUUUUCAAAUUUAUUAAAAAACAUUUCAUACUUUUCAUAAUACUGUAAAUGGCAUGAAUUUUUUUAAGUUCUGAUUGUUGCUAGCAUACAGAAACACGAUGGAGAGUUUUGUAUUGAUCUUGCAUCUGUAACUACUGUCAAUAAUUCUAGAAGCUUUUUAUUACCUCCCUCAGGUUUUUCAUGUAGAUAAGCAUGUCAUUUGUGAAUAAAAGACAUUUUAACACUUUUCCAGUCUGCCUUUCAUUUCCUGUCCUUGCCUUAUAAAAACGGCUAGAACAUCCAGCCAUUGGAUUGCAGGGAAAACAAACUUGCCUUAUUCCGGAUCUUAGAGGUGGGAGAAGCAUUUAGUCUUUUCAUUAUUGUUGUGGACUGAAUAAUUAUUUCUCCCCAUAACUCAUGUUGAAGCUCUAACCUCUAGUGUGUCUGUAUUUGGAGAUGGGGCCUCUAAAGAAGUAAUUAAGGUUAAAUGAGUCAUUAGGGUAGGGCUCUGAUCCAAUGGGACUAGAGUCCAUAUAAGACACACCAGAGAACGAGUGGUCCUCACCCUGCCCUCCACUCCCUGUGAAGACGUAUGCGAAUAUAUAAUGAAAAGGAGGAGGCCAACUACGCACAAGGAAGAGAGCCCUCACUGGAAACCAAGUCAGUCAGAACCUUCAUCUUGAAUUUCUAACCUUCAGAACUGUGAGAAAAUAAAUUUUUGGUUUGAGCCACUGAGUCUGUGGUAUUUAUGGCAGUCCUAGCAAAAUAAUACAGAUUCCCAUGGUUCAAGGUUUUUCAUGGGGUUGCAGUGAAGCUGUCAGCCAGGACCAUCCCAAGGCUUCAAUGGGGGAGGAUUAACUUCCAAGCUCAAUCACAUGGUGUUGGCAGGGUUCAGCUUCUUGUAGGGUGAUGGAUGUUGGACGGAAGGCCUACUUUUCACUAGCUAUUGCUAGGAGACCUCCUUCAGUUCCUUGGCAGAGGGUCUUCUCAGUAGGGUAGCUCGAAACAUGACAGCUGGUUUCCAUCACAGGGAGUGAAGGAGCAAGGGAGCAAGAGAAUGAGGGCAGUUGCGUCUGCUGGAGACGGAAGGCAGUCUCUUACUUAACCCUCAUCUCAGAAGUGACGUACAAAGACCUUUUCUAUUCAUUUGAAAUGUCACGAAAUCCAACACAUACUCAAGGAGAGAAAAUUACAAGAGGGCCUGAAUACUAGGAGACAGAUAUUGAGGCCAUCUUAGAAGCUCCCUACAAGUUCUUAAUGACCAAGUCUGGGACAAUUUGAACAGCAUAGUAAAUGAUAAUACUAACAGAUUAAGACAGAAUAAACAUCCAUGAGUCCAUACUGAUGUAAACAAAAUAACUGAAUAUAGAUCUUCCUCAGCAUACGAUGAGAUUAUGUCCUGUUAAACUCAUCAUAAAUUAAAAAUGCAUUUAAUGCAUCUGAGCUACUGAACAACACAGCUUAGCCUAGCCGAUCUUAAACGUGCUCAGAACACUUAUAUUAGCCUAAAGUUGGACAAAGUAUUUAACACGGCCUAUUUUAUGAUAAAGUCAUGAAUAUCUCGUGUAUUUUACUGAACACGACUGAAGGUUAAAAAAAAAAAAAAA
rnacentral:lncRNA from 1 species